rnacentral:rRNA from 1 species
CCUACGGGACGCAGCAGUGGGGAAUAUUGCGCAAUGGGCGAAAGCCUGAACGAGCGAUGCCGCGUGAGUGAAGAAGGCCUUCGGGUCGUAAAGCUCUAUUGCGGGGGAAAAAAGGCAGCAUCAGGAAAUGGGUGCUGACUGAUGGUGCCCCGCCAGAAAGUCACGGCUAACUACGUGCCAGCAGCCGCGGUAAUACGUAGGUGGCGAGCGUUAUCCGGAAUGAUUGGGCGUAAAGGGUGCGCAGGCGGUCCUGCAAGUCUGGAGUGAAACGCCU